AUACUUACCUGGCAGGGGAGAUACCAUGAUCACAAAGGUGGUUUUCCCAGGGUGAGGCUUAUCCAUUGCACUAUGGAUGUGCUGACCCCUGUGAUUUCCCCAAAGGUGGGAAACUCGAGUGCAUAAUAUGUGGUAGUGGGGGACAGCAUUCAUGCUUUCCCCUG
ensembl:snRNA U1 U1 spliceosomal RNA